GUUGAGAAAAUGUUGGGUAUGUUCAUGAAACUGAGAAAAGUCUGGUAUGUCUUUGAUUCCAAGUGAGAGGCAAGGAGUACAAGAUGAAGCAGGUCCAGGUUAGACUACAAGUCCCGAUAGACCGUUAUGGUGUCUAGGGGGGUGGUAAGCUCUAAUUUUUGUUUUGAAAACAUCACUGUGGUUGUGUUGGUUAGAGAAGAGGCAGGAUUGGAAGCUAGGGUGACCAGUUAAAAAUAUUCAGUGGUCUAGGGAGGGCAUGAGAUAGCAGUUUGCACCAGGUAGGAGAUGAGGAGAAGUGGACAUAUCUAAGAACUUGGUUUUUUGUACUGGGGAUUUAACUCAGGGGCACUUUACCACUGAGCUCCAUCCCUAGCCCCUUUUGUUUUAUUUUGACACAGGGUCUCACUAAGUGGCUUAGGGCCUCACUCAGUAGCUGAAGCUGAUUGAUAAUUUGUAAUCCUCCUGCCUCAGCCUCCCAGGUUGCUGGGGUUACAGGUGUGAGCCACCAUGCCCAGCCAUCUGAGGACUUUUUUGGAGAUAAAAUUGACAUAAUUUUAUAAAAAUUGUGGAAGUAAAGGAGAACAUGUAUAAGGCAUGGCUGAAAUGUUCUGAAAGUAAAUUAGUUGAAGGGCUAUUUCUAAAGCAUAGAGUUCCCCUCACUAUUCAUAUUGUUUUAAAAAAUUGCAAGUAACAUGAAUGAUCUUUUGUCUUCUGUUGAGAAAUACCUCUUUUUUACCAAGGCAGUCACAUAUAGAAUUAAGCAGUAUACUGAUAACAAACAUUUUUGGAAAAAUACAAAUUUGAGAAAAUUAGAUUUUUAAAUAUUUGCCAGAUGAAUUUUUUUUUUUUUCUGAGAGUCUCUUUUUCCUAGUCUACAACCUCCGUAUCAUUAUGAUGUACUUGGCCCAGUGCUCUAGAGAUCAUCUGUCAUUUAAGUUUCCUCAUAUUGAUGUAAGUAAUGAAAACAGACUCUAAAAUGAUUUUCUGGCAUAUAACUACCUUCCAAUGAGGAAUAUCUGGAAUCAAUUCAGUUUUAGUAAUUUCUUAUUUCCAUGGCCAAAGUCCUAAAAUGUCAAGUUCUUCAAGUGAUGUUUUUAUUCUGUAG
rnacentral:lncRNA from 1 species